CCAGACACCACCGAGAGACACAGGGCUUUUUAGCGUUCACUGUAUUUUCACUUCCACCGGAUCCAAUGUGAUAAUUUAUGUGAAAUCUUUCUGCAAACUAUACAGUAUGAUAAAAAUAUAAGGUAGUUUCACUGGAAACAACAGAAGACUAGAAGCUGAUGUGACGUGGCAAUAUCAACCAGGAAUACCCAUCUCGAGUUCUGGAUAUGUGCUCUGAGAAGGUGCCCAUGUCACCGACCACACUGGAGGCCAAUGCAGAUACUGGGGGAAGGUUCCAUGGUAGCUAAGUGUGGACAAGCUAAUCACUGAAGUUCCCUGAUGCAGAGUUGAUAAUCUCUCUAGAGUUGGAUGAAAGACUGUGCUGCCUUGAAGCUCUGAGAGAUGCCAUGCCAAUUCAAGGCAGGGUCUUUAUUGUUGAAACUCUUGCGUAAUGACAUCUUUAUUCAGGUGAAAAUACAGGAUGAAUUUCAACUAUAUGAUAUUGUUUAUGUUCCUCAGACAUGUUAUUUGUCUUUACAAAGAUUGGUUUCAAUAAACUGUGUGACUGAUAUUAAAUAAACAUGGAAUUUUACACAUUCAUAAUAUUUGGUUUCUUGUGAUUUUGAUGAACUAUACUUUCAAGCAUUGUCAGUUCAUCCUCAUUUACAAGGAAACAUUUGCUGUAGCAGAGUGAUGUAGUGACUUGCUUUACUUAAGAUAAGUCAACUUUUCUAUUCAAUGUUUAAUGUGAAACUGACUUAAAAAUUUUCUUUUAGGCCACAUUUACAUUUCUGUUUGUAUAACAUGCAUUAUACUAUUUUAACUUAAUACUAUGGCUAUAUAAACCAAAGACAUCCUAAUUCUGUUUUUAAUUUAUUGUUUUGCAAGAUAAAUAAUUUUUAAUGCACUAAUGAAGCUAAGGAGUUCAUAUUAAAAGACAUGUUAUAUGACCUACUGAAGUUGAGCUAUGGAAA
rnacentral:lncRNA from 1 species